UGGGGAAUAUUGGACAAUGGGCGAAAGCCUGAUCCAGCCAUGCCGCGUGUGUGAAGAAGGUCUUCGGAUUGUAACGCACUUUAAGUUGGGAGGAAGGGCAUUAACCUAAUACGUUAGUGUUUUGACGUUACCGACAGAAUAAGCACCGGCUCACUCUGUGCCAGCAGCCGCGGUAAUACAGAGGGUGCAAGCGUUAAUCGGAAUUACUGGGCGUAAAGCGCGCGUAGGUGGUUUGUUAAGUUGGAUGUGAAAUCCCCGGGCUCAACCUGGGAACUGCAUUCAAAACUGACUGACUAGAGUAUGGUAGAGGGUGGUGGAAUUUCCUGUGUAGCGGUGAAAUGCGUAGAUAUAGGAAGGAACACCAGUGGCGAAGGCGACCACCUGGACUAAUACUGACACUGAGGUGCGAAAGCGUGGGGAGCAAACA
rnacentral:rRNA from 1 species